rnacentral:rRNA from 1 species
AUUGAACGCUGGCGGCAUGCUUUACACAUGCAAGUCGAACGGCAGCACGGGUGCUUGCACCUGGUGGCGAGUGGCGAACGGGUGAGUAAUGCAUCGGAACGUGCCUAUUAGUGGGGGAUAACGCUUCGAAAGGAGUGCUAAUACCGCAUAAUCUCUGAGGAGGAAAGCAGGGGACCUUCGGGCCUUGCGCUGAUAGAGCGGCCGAUGUCGGAUUAGCUAGUUGGUGAGGUAAAGGCUCACCAAGGCGACGAUCCGUAGCGGGUCUGAGAGGAUGAUCCGCCACACUGGGACUGAGACACGGCCCAGACUCCUACGGGAGGCAGCAGUGGGGAAUUUUGGACAAUGGGCGCAAGCCUGAUCCAGCCAUGCCGCGUGAGUGAAGAAGGCCUUCGGGUUGUAAAGCUCUUUUGUCCGGGUGCAAGUCCUACUGGCUAUAUCUGGUGGGGAUGAGAGUACUGGAGAAUAAGCACCGGCUAACG